ACAUCUAAUAUGUCUGUUUAUUCCUCUCAGGGUGAAGAUCCCCGUGUGUUCAUGAUCUGCACCAUUGGCAACCAGAAUGGAAUGCAGCGUAGCUGAGCUUCUGAAAUGCUAGAAGGAAACUGAAGAUGCACUUAAGGUUUCUGAACCGAACAAUAGACGCCCUUAGCAUGGCUAUGUAAGACGGAGAAGCUUCAAUACAGGUGAGGAGGAAUGAGACAAAAAAAAGGAUUUCAGAAAGUAUGCUGAAUUAUCUCAAAACACUGUGGAUACUGUUUUGUGGAUAGGAUAAGUUGGAAGCUGGUUGAAAUCCAUUGUCUAAUUUGAUGCUCUGAGUUUCCCAAAUAAAAAGAAACUACCAGACUGAACAUGGAGACAGAAGGUGCUGCAUCAUAGACUGUUGGAUUAGAAUCAAUCAGACCUCAAAAGCAAGUAUGAGAAUUGCUGAAGAUUUUUAAUCAAAAAAUUACCAUUGGAUAAAUGAAAUAAAUUACU
rnacentral:sRNA from 1 species